rnacentral:rRNA from 1 species
GACGAAUCUCAGUCGACGAUUCCUACGGGAGGCAGCAGUGGGGAAUAUUGGACAAUGGGGGCAACCCUGAUCCAGCAAUGCCGCGUGUGUGAAGAAGGCCUGCGGGUUGUAAAGCACUUUCAGUAGAGAAGAAAAGCUUUCGGUUAAUACCCGGGAGUCUUGACGUAACCUACAGAAGAAGCACCGGCUAACUCCGUGCCAGCAGCCGCGGUAAUACGGAGGGUGCGAGCGUUAAUCGGAAUUACUGGGCGUAAAGCGCGCGUAGGCGGCGAGGUCAGUCGAAUGUGAAAGCCCUGGGCUUAACCUGGGAAUUGCACUCGAUACUGCCUGGCUAGAGUAUGGGAGAGGGAAGUGGAAUUUCCGGUGUAGCGGUGAAAUGCGUAGAUAUCGGAAGGAACACCAGUGGCGAAGGCGACUUCCUGGCCCAAUACUGACGCUGAGGUGCGAAAGCGUGGGUAGCGAACAGGAUUAGAUACCCUGGUAGUCCACGCCGUAAACGAUGAGAACUAGAUGUCGGGAGGAUUUACCUUUCGGUGUCGCAGCUAACGCGUUAAGUUCUCCGCCUGGGGAGUACGCCGGCAACGGUAAAACUCAAAGGAAUUGACGG